AUGUGUACAUUUCCGUGAAGGUAGCCUCAAAGCUAGUGUACAAAAUAUCUGCAUAGAUCCUUGAUGUUUAUCAAGUUGAAUAUGGGCAUGAACGGCAUUCAAUGCCAGUGUGCAUUUGCUACGUGUACUGUACCCAGCGUCUACUAAAAGUUGGGGAUAUCAAACUGGGUUUGUCUUUCCGUUUGUCUGUCAGUCAUGUUGUUUGUAUGUAACACUUGUUUCCAUGCAAUAAUUUAUAGAGCCAUUAACCUAUUAAAAUGAAAUUUGAUAUCACAACUUCUUUUGACGUAAAGAAGACCUUAAAUUUUGAGGGCUAAUGUCAGGGAAAGAUCAUAAAUUUUAACAUUCUGUCAGUGUGUAGCAUUUUCAUUAUGUGUAAUAUUUUAUAUAAAAGCCUUUGAACUUUUGUACGAAAUCUUUAUUCCUUUAGGCAUAAGGAGACUCAUUGAUCAAGGUCAGAAAUCAACAUCUCAGAGGAAAAUCUAGAUAAAUAAUAUCGUUUUUAUUUUGGUCAAAGUCAGGGUUAUGAAUUGAUACAUUCAGUCUGUUUAACACUUUUGGUCCCUUCAAUAUCCUAGAAAGUUUUUUACUACAUGCAUUUGCAAUUGAAUGUUAUACCAUACCAUGCCAUAUACAUUUGACCCAAAAAUUUUCUUUGAGGGCAAGGUUAGAGAAAUGUUUAUUGAUAUCACUACCGUUGUCUUUAAACUUUUGCAAUUUUCAAUGUUUAAAAUUCAUGAAAUUAUUUGGCUAGAUGAUCACACUACUAUACUGUAUGUUUAGAUAUUUAUUUGUCUAUGUGAUAUGUUAUAUAUACAUUGUAUGGUUAUUCAAAUUGUGAUAUAUAUAGAAGUGUUGUAAACGUUUAAUGUGGUCAUGUAAAAAUAUGAUCAGGUAGAAUUUUUAUUUCAUGUUUAAAAGUACUCAUGUAAAACAUGUAAAUCUUGUGGAAUUGUAAAUGUAAAUGUUCAUGGAAACUGUAAAGGUGUGGAACAAGUGUGAUAUGUAAUGUGUAGAUAUUGUGUGUGUAAAUUAUGAAUAAUGUCAAAAAAUCACCGAAAAAUAGAGCAUAAAGUGAAAUGGGAAGAU
rnacentral:sRNA from 1 species